rnacentral:rRNA from 1 species
GACAGAGGGUGCAACGUGUUCGGAAUUACUGGGCGUAAAGCGCGUGUAGGCUGCUUCGCAAGUCGGAUGUGGAAAGCCCUGGGCUUAACCCAGGAAGUGCAUUCGAAACUGCAGAGCUGGAGUCCUGGAGAGGAAGGCGGAAUUCUCGGUGAGAGGUGAAAUUCGUAGAUAUCGAGAGGAACACCGGUGGCGAAGGCGGCC